CAAGCUCCGGCCGUCCCAACCCGAUCCUGGGCACCGAGACGUGUCCCGGCAGCAAAACCCGCUCAGCCUUGAAUGUGAAACGCGGCGCGGGGAGGGUUGGGGCUGAGCCAGAGUGUGUGGGAGCAGGUGUGUGCGUGUGCGGGGGUGUUUCUCCAGCUCAAACCCAACGCCGCUCAAACUGACAGCAGGGCUCCUAUUUCAGUGGGAGCUGGGUAACCCAAGCCCAUGGCGCUGCUUCGUGCCAACUCUGGCCGUCAGCUGCCGGGCAUCAGCUCCGGCAUGGACCUCACCUGGUAGCGGCAAGGGUGGGAAGGAGGAGGGUGUUUCGAGGGAGAAGGCGUCAAACAACUUUUGUGCCAGCUGCAUUUCUCCCACAUUGGCAGACAUCCCCAGUAACGCUAAUGAUUUUGGUGGCGUUAAUCCAGAUUGAGACAGGGACAGCUAAAACGAUAUUAGCCUGGGCGCGGGAAGGCUGCGGGCGCCGCUGGAGAAUUGCUCUUGCCCACCCAGCACUCCCCACAUCUUGGUCAUGUAAAAAAGGGAGGUGUUUGCUCUACUGAGGGCUUCAGAGCAGGGAAAAACCUGGAGGAAACUUCUCCCAGCAUGAGCGAGUGGGGAUUUGUCGUGACCAUAUGGUAAACACGGUCCUGCCCAGACAUACCCCUGCCACAGGGCAGCCCUGGGGCGGCACGGCACAGCAUGGCAUGGCACGGCACGGCAUGGUGCUCCCUCCCAGGGGUGUGCCGCCCCACUUGGGUCCACGCUGGCAUCGCCUCUUCUAACACACCCAGCUGAAAAUCAUCACGUCUCUGUUUUAACAGACCUCUGGCACCAUUUUAUUAUCACGCUGCUUUAACAUCCCAAGCGCAAUGUGCGCGGCUGGAGCUCCAAUUUAUUUUUACUUCUCUUUUAAUGCGUUUCACGAAUACCCAGGGAAUUGGAAAUGUCAGGACACCGGCGUGGCUGUAUCAGCCGCAGGAAUCUGCCUCCCUGUUCAAUAGAUAAUUGAAGACUAUUUCAAACGGGAGCUGCCUCGACGUGAGUGUUGGCUCCUCAUGGCGCUGACCCUGGCUUCAUUUAUUUUCUAGCUCUACAAAGGGCUAAUAAAGCUUUAACUUACCUGCUUUUCUAAACUUUACAUCUGAAGCAUUCAGCGGUGCACGGCCAAGGUGGAAAUAAAAGAGCUUAACCUAAAAUAGCACUCAGUAUUCAGAUCGGGCUAAAAAAUAUAAAUCCAGAGCCAUGCUCAAAUGGCAGGGAUGCUAUUUCUCUCUGUAACGCCGAGGUAAAGGCAACACCCACCGGUGACUUCGGUCCCUGCAUCAGCGUGCACCGAGUCCCUGGGGAGGGGUCCUGCUUCGGGGGACGGUGCCACACUUGGAGCCCUUGGAAAGGCAAUUUAUUGAGCCUUGAGAUUAACCCCCUGGGCACUGCUAACUCCUGCAUAAGCCAAGUAGGAACCAAAACACCGAUGGGAGCAGGGCUGGGUUUCCCCGCGGGCACCGGGUGCCUCCAGCCAGACCUGCCGGCGUUCUGGACUGGCAGCACCCAGCUUACCCUGCAGUUGAUGUAUAUUAACGAUGCCAACCUCACCGUGGGGGAUUUAAGCUAGGUGGGCUGCCAGGGAGGUGAACCGGGCAGGAUUUAGGAAACCUGUGCUCCGGGCCACACUCCUUGAGCAAGUCUCAUCAUCUCAUCGCACUUUGGUUUCACCACGUGAGGACUGGGAGCGGUGAUACCGAUCGCCUUCGUGCACAAGAGAUGCCUGGGCAGCCUCCCUCCCUCCCGUUCACACAGGCAGCAGAAGUCCGGUGCAACGCAGAGUCCCUGAAUACGGUCUCCAUUAUUUCCCAGUAGUUACGUCCAGACAAGCUUUCCUGUCCCUGAAAGGACAUUUUGCUAAAAUAUUGCUCCUUGUCGCUCUGAGUGCAGCCAAACAAACCACAGAGCCACAAUACAGAUUUUUUUUUUUUUAUUUUAAUCAAUACAGCUUGAAAAACCCAGGGAAGGGCCAGCCAACCUGAGCAACGAGCAUCAAAAAACCAUCGGAGGUUGUUCUGGCAGGCGGGAUCACUGGGUGGCUUUUAUCCCAGCUGCCGCUUGAGCUACUCGGAUGGAGGGGAUUUUGCAAACGUGUCCCAUCCAUACCUGUCCACCGGCCGCCGGAGCACUGGCAGUGUCCCAGCCUUGCUCUGCCACCAGACACUGGGUGUCACUGGGAAAAAUUCAUCCCAUGGAAGGUCCUAAUGGGUCUCCAUGCCUGGAGGAUGCUGACAAGCUGGACCCAUGAACCGGAUCC